rnacentral:rRNA from 1 species
AUGAGUCAUCCGGCCUACGGUGAUGCGUGGCAGGAUUUCGAUAAGAAAUAUACAAAAUUUGCAGAAGAUGCCAGAAACAUGAGGCUUGGCAUUGCCACUGAUGGGUUCAAUCCUUUCGGAAACUUCAACACAAACUAUAGUAUGUGGCAUGUAUUUGUUGUGCCAUACAACUUUCCACCUUGGGCAUGCAUGGAUCAGUCAAAUUUCAUGAUGGCUCUUCUAAUUCUAGGUCCCAAAUCACCCGGCAAGCACUUUGAUGUCUUUCUACAGCCACUUGUAGAAGAUUUACUUGAGCUUUGGAAGGGUGUGCGUACAUAUGAUGCUUAUAGCGGAAAAAUGUUUGAUCUUCAUGCUGCAGUUCUAUGGUGCAUUCAUGAUUACCCAGCUCUGAGCACUCUUUCAGGGCGUACUACAAGAGGCUAUGCUGCAUGUAUUCAUUGUGACAAACACCCUCUUUCGUAUAGCCUAAGGAGCAAAAUUGGAUAUAUUGGACACUACUGUUUUCUUCCAAAGGGACAUCGUUUGCAAAGAAACAAUGAAUUUGUUGGUCUUCAUGAACGCAAUGAUGAGCCGGGUAAAUUCUCCAAGGAAGAGUUGCAAGUAGAAUUGGACAAGGUUAGACCUGGGCAACAACAAGAAAGCAGGAAAAGGAAGCGUUCUGACUUGGGCAGCAAGAAGGCUCAUGUGCCAAUUUGGAGCCGGAGGGUUUGUUUGUGGGAUUUGGAAUAUUGGGGUGACUUGAAGCUGAGACAUAAUCUUGAUGUCAUGCACAUCGAGAAAAACAUAUGUGAAAACCUCAUUGGGACAAUUCUGGGCAUGGAGGGGAAGGCAAAGGACACAAUAAAUGCUAGGCUUGAUCUCCAAGAUUUGAAUAUUAAAGAGGAGCUGCAUUUGAGGAAGAAUGGAAACUCAUAUGAGAUGCCUCGGGCCCGAUAUACCUUGUCUAAAGAACAAGUUGUUGCAUUUUGUCAAUUUUUACGAGAGUUAAGUUUCCAGAUGGGUUUGCUUCCAACAUUUCAAGAUGUACAAGUGCCGACGGAAACAAGGUACAAGGCCUAA